AAUAGGGCACUCCUGCAAAGGGAAGAUGGAUAUCCUAGGCAUGAAGUCCAAGACAAUAGCCUAAGGAAUGGAGAGGUCCAAAAAGUAGGUUUCUCGGUGUGAAAGCUUGCACAGAACAUCACCCACCUGCUUGGACGGCUCACUUCUGGACUGUUAGAGGGAAAUAACUGGACUGAAGAGGGAAAUAAAGUCCUGUCUUCUCCUCCAUCCAGGAGCCACGAGGAGCCCACCCAGAGUCACCGCAUUGGAACAAAAGAUGCUCCUAGUGCUCUUAUCACCUAGGAACUUACAGAGGUUUCAGGCAUUGUGUCAGGAACUGGGUAAUCUCUACACCCAAUUGUGGGCCACAAACUCAUGACCCUGGGAUCAAGAGUCGCAUGCUCUUCUGACUGAGCCACCCAGGCACCCGCUAAAUGAUUGCUUGCUUUGCAUACAUUAAGACUCACUCUUUGCACUACAGAGUUCUGUGGGGUUCAACAAAUGAAUAGUGUCAUGUAUGCACAUUUACAGUAUCAUGCAGGAUAUUUGAACUGUCCUAAGAGAAUGCUCAGCGCUGUACCUGUUCAACCCUUUCUCCCCUCCUCCUGAGCUCCAGACAACCAUGGAACUUUUUUAAAAUUGAAGUAUAACUGAUAUAUUAUAUUAUAUUAGUUUCAGGUGUAGAACAUAAUGAUUUCAGAACUAUAUACAUUGCACAAUGUUCCUCAUGACGAGAGUAGUUAUUCUUUGUCACCUAUAACUGACUAUAUUCCCCGCGCUGUACUUUUCACCCCCGUGACUUACUUAUUUUAUAACUGGAAAUUUGUUCCUCUAAUUCCCUAAAUCCCCUUCACCUAUUUCACCUAUCUUCCCACUUACUCCCCUCUCGUAAUUACCACUAGUUCUCUGUAUUUAUGACUGUGUUUCUAAUUUUGUUGUUGUUUGUUUGUUCAUUUGUUUUAUUUUUCAGAUUUUAGAUCACACAGUAGUUUUGUUUCUCAGACUUAUUUCAGUUAGCAUAAUACCUUCUAGGUCUGUCCCUAUUGCAAAUGGCAAUAUUUUGCUUUUUUAUAGCUGAGUAAUAUAUAUAUAUAUA